UACGGAGGAUGCAAGCGUUAUCCGGAUUUAUUGGGUUUAAAGGGUGCGCAGGCGGGGUAGUAAGUCAGUGGUGAAAUCCUGCGGCUCAACCGUAGAACUGCCAUUGAUACUGCUAUCCUUGAGUGUAGUUGAGGUGGGCGGAAUGUGUAAUGUAGCGGUGAAAUGCAUAGAUAUUACACAGAACACCGAUUGCGAAGGCAGCUCACUAAACUACUACUGACGCUGAGGCACGAAAGCGUGGGGAGCGAACAGGAUUAGAUACCCCCGUA
rnacentral:rRNA from 1 species